UACGUAGGGGGCGAGCGUUAUCCGGAUUUACUGGGCGUAAAGCGCGUUAAGGCGGUUGGCAAAGUUGGCUGUGAAAUCUCAGGGCUCAACCCUGAAAUUGCGACCAAUACUGGUCGACUAGAGUGCAAGAGAGGAAGGUGGAAUUCCCGGUGUAGUAGUGAAAUGCGUAGAUAUCGGGAGGAACACCAGUGGCGAAGGCGGCCUUCUGGCUUGUAACUGACGCUGUAGCGCGAAAGCGUGGGGAGCGAACCGG
rnacentral:rRNA from 1 species